AAACAUGAGAGUUUGAUCCCGGCUCAGAAUGAACGCUGGCGGCGUGCCUAACACAUGCAAGUCGAGCGAGAAAGCCUCCUUCGGGGGGUGAGUAAAGCGGCGCACGGGUGAGUAACGCGUGGGUAACCUACCCUUGAGUGGGGAAUAACCCGCCGAAAGGUGGACUAAUACCGCAUACGACCAGGGGGCAUACGCUCUCUGGGGAAAGAUGGCCUCUGCAUGCAAGCUAUCGCUCUUGGACGGGCCCGCGUUGGAUUAGCUUGUUGGUGGGGUAACGGCCUACCAAGGCAACGAUCCAUAGCUGGUUUGAGAGGACGACCAGCCACACUGGAACUGAGAUACGGUCCAGACUCCUACGGGAGGCAGCAGUGAGGAAUAUUGCGCAAUGGGGGAAACCCUGACGCAGCGACGCCGUGUGAGUGAUGAAGGCCUUCGG
rnacentral:rRNA from 1 species